rnacentral:rRNA from 1 species
GACGAACGCUGGCGGCGCGCCUAACACAUGCAAGUCGAACGAGCGAGAGAGAGCUUGCUUUCUCGAGCGAGUGGCGAACGGGUGAGUAACGCGUGAGGAACCUGCCUCAAAGAGGGGGACAACAGUUGGAAACGACUGCUAAUACCGCAUAAGCCCACGACCCGGCAUCGGGUAGAGGGAAAAGGAGCAAUCCGCUUUGAGAUGGCCUCGCGUCCGAUUAGCUAGUUGGUGAGGUAACGGCCCACCAAGGCGACGAUCGGUAGCCGGACUGAGAGGUUGAACCGCCACAUUGGGACUGAGACACGGCCCAGAAUCCUACGGGAGGCAGCAGUGGGGAAUAUUGCACAAUGGGGGAAACCCUGAUGCAGCGACGCCGCGUGGAGGAAGAAGGUCUUCGGAUUGUAAACUCCUGUUGUUGAGGAAGAUAAUGACGGUACUCAACAAGGAAGUGACGGCUAACUACGUG